rnacentral:tmRNA from 1 species
GGGGAUGACUGGCUUCGACGGGGAAGGCUGGCCCUGGAUUGCAAGCCGAGCACGCUUCACAUCUCGUAAAACUGGAAGCACACGCAUAAGUGCCAACCGCACCAAUGCCUACAGUGCUCUCCCGAUGGCUGCGUAAAGUAGCUUAGGGAUAGCCAGAUGUUCCCCUAAACAAGGAACCCGUUCGCUUUUGUCCGUUCGUUGGCCGGGCAUUAGCGGGCGACAUUAAUGCCAACGUGCUCCGCGCUAACUCCGAUAGGCGCGGCUAGAGACGCCCUCUCGGGGGCAAUCGGAUAGCGGGCGGCUGACCCAGUUGACCGGGGCGCCCGACCGCCAAACUAAAAGGUCGACUAAGCUUGUAGACAUCUGGAGGUCGAAUUUUUCGGACGCGGGUUCGAUUCCCGCCAUCUCCACU